rnacentral:rRNA from 1 species
GAUGAACGCUGGCGGCGUGCCUAACACAUGCAAGUCGAGCGGCAGCGAGGGGUGCUUGCACCCUGUCGGCGAGCGGCGGACGGCUGAGUAACGCGUGGGAACGUGCCCCAAAGUGAGGAAUAACUGCCCGAAAGGGUAGCUAAUACCGCAUAUUAUCUUCGGAUCAAAGGAUUUAUCCGCUUUGGGAGCGGCUCGCGUCGGAUUAGGUAGUUGGUGAGGUAAUGGCUCACCAAGCCGACGAUCCGUAACUGGUCUGAGAGGAUGACCAGCCAGACUGGAACUGAGACACGGUCCAGACUCCUACGGGAGGCAGCAGUGAGGAAUCUUCCACAAUGGGCGAAAGCCUGAUGGAGCAACGCCGCGUGCAGGACGAAGGCCUUCGGGUUGUAAACUGCUUUUAUAAGUGAGGAAUAUGACGGUAACUUAUGAAUAAGGAUCGGCUAACUACGUG